AGACCAGGGCUGGCGCGUGUGAGCCCUGGGUUCCAUCGCAGCAUUGCAGAAAAAAAAAAAAAAAUAACUUGCUCAAGACUGAGUAAGUGGUAAAGGCAGGACUAGAAUUCAGGCCACCUAAUUCUUCAGUAUUUGUUUUGUUUUAUUUUGUUUCAGAGUUCUUGCAUGAAUAAAAAAUAUGUAACUGUUAUGAGAAUCCAUCAUUAUUUGUAAAACCAAUCUCCUCUGAAUGGACACUGUUAUUCCCAGCUGAACAUGCUGUUGGAAGGAAGACCCCACUGGAGGAGGCCCUUCUGUGAUGAUGUUCUUGCCGUCGGGCCUGCCGAUCAUGGACCUAACCCUCUGAAAUCGUGAGCCACAUAAACCUUUUCUUUAAGUUGCACAUGUCAGAUAUUUUGUCCCAGCAGCGGGAGCGCCGGUGUGUACCACGGUGCUCAGCUUGAUACACAUUUCAUUGUUUUCACCAUUUAGCUAUGACAAAUGAUGUUGCCAUAUGCAUAGGUGUACAGUUUUUAUUUGGAAGUUUUUUUUCAGUCCUCUUGGGACACACCUACUAGUGGAAUUGCUGGGCUUCUUUAGCCUCUAUCCUUUCUGCUUCAAUGAUGUAGAAGGUUCCAGUUUCCUCACAUCCUUGUCAACACCUGUCAUCGCCUGUCUUCUUCUUUUUGUUGCUAUUUUUUUUCUUCUUCCAUUUAUUUUUGGUACGGGAAUCGAACUUGGGACAUUGUGCUUGUGAGGCAGGUGGCAGAAUCACUGAGCUUAAUAUCCGGCCCUCCAUUUAUUUAUUCACUUAUUCGUGCAUGCAUGCAUGCAUACAAGCAUUCAUUUGCUUUUUU
ensembl:lncRNA